rnacentral:rRNA from 1 species
UACGGGGGGAGCAAGCGUUGUUCGGAUUUACUGGGCGUAAAGGGCGCGUAGGCGGCCUCUGCAAGUCGACUGUGAAAUCUCCGGGCUUAACCCGGAAAGGUCAGCCGAUACUGCAGGGCUAGAGUGCAGAAGGGGCAACUGGAAUUCUCGGUGUAGCGGUGAAAUGCGUAGAUAUCGAGAGGACCACCUGCGGCGAAGGCGGGUUGCUGGGCUGACACUGACGCUGACAGCGCGAAAGCUAGGGGAGCGAACGGG